rnacentral:rRNA from 1 species
UACGGAGGGUGCAAGCGUUAUCCGGAUUUACUGGGUUUAAAGGGAGCGCAGGCGGGUCUGUAAGUCAGUGGUGAAAGCCCUCAGCUUAACUGAGGAACUGCCAUUGAUACUAUAGGUCUUGAAUAUUGUUGAGGUAUGCGGAAUAGGUCAUGUAGCGGUGAAAUGCAUAGAUAUGACCUGGAACACCUAUUGCGAAGGCAGCAUACUAAGCGAUUAUUGACGCUGAGGCUCGAAAGCGUGGGUAGCGAACAGG